UACGUAGGGUCCGAGCGUUGUCCGGAAUUACUGGGCGUAAAGGGCGCGUAGGCGGCCUUCUAAGUCGAACGUGAAAUCCCCGGGCUCAACCCGGGAACUGCGUCCGAUACUGGAAGGCUUGAAUCCGGGAGAGGGAUGCGGAAUUCCAGGUGUAGCGGCGAAAUGCGUAGAUAUCUGGAGGAACACCGGUGGCGAAGGCAGGUCUCUGGGCAUUAACUGACGCUGAGGAGCGAAAGCAUGGGGAGCGAACAGG
rnacentral:rRNA from 1 species